UCCCUGGUGGUCCAGUGGUUAGGGCUCCGCACUCCCAAUGCGGAGGGCCCAGGUUGGAUCCCUGGUCAGGGAA